rnacentral:lncRNA from 10 species
CUUUAUGGUAGCUGGGUUUGGCCUAGGGAUUGGGGGAUGAGAGCCUUUCCCAUGUUCCAAAAAGAGACAAGCCUUGUGUUUGCUCCUUUUCCCUCCCUAAAUGCCUUACCUCUGGCAGAAUUCCUGGAUUUUCCUGAGGUCAUACAGCACCUAAUAUAGUGAUUUGGAUACAACAGCUACUGAAUAAACAUUUGUUGCAUAGCAGAAUAGGACGUAACAAAGUCAGAUCUGUCUGGAUCCAAAGCUGCUCUCCUUUUUCCUUACAGGAUAUUGCAUUUGAGGAUACUGUGAGCUCUGUCAGAGGCUAUCAGAGAUGCUCCCUGCAUGACAGCAGAGUGGUCUAGACUGGACCCCAAGUCAGACCAGCCCGAAUGAGCAAGACUCCUCGCUGCCAGCUCUGUAUCUUUCUUUUUCUGGAACCACAGAAGAUCACAUUGUCCAAUGUUCCAGGCUAGAAGUACCAGGGGAUUAAGCUGCAGCUCCAUGUUGAGAUUCUCCAAAUUUAGGACACAUAAAAAUAUGAAGUCUUGGGAAUACUAUCCAAGAACCAUCAAGAGAGAAGGUAAGCCAAGUUCAUAAGGCAGUUUAAUCCUUAGAAGCAAGACUCAGCCAAUAGCCAGACAGGCUGUGAUUCCCUUUGCUGUGUUUUCCUACUUUUGUGCCAACCCCAAAAUGCUAAGUCAUUGCUUUUGCUAGAAGGAUAUUUUCUUAUUGCAUUCUGAGGAUUUGAACAAAUAUUUUCUUCUUGAGGAAAGUUUUCAGAACAUUUUCAAAUUGAAGGUUAGGCUUUCACGACAAAACGAGCCUCCGCUCUGCAAAAUUUAACUCCCAGUUUUGGAUAAAUGCCGUACUUGGAGGAGACAGAUCAGCAUCUGCUGGGCUACACUUCGUUUGACAUAGCCCUUUCUUUCCACCAAUACUGAAAUGGCUUUCAGCAAAGCCUGUGGGCACUGUGGUUUCCAUAGCAGUCCUCUCAGGAGGGGUAGACACGGACAAAGCAUUUCGCUUCAGCCUUGUGACUGGUGACAUGCUGAAGCCAACCAGUUGGCCACCUACAUGGAAACGUAUGAGACUCACCUCCCCCCUUACCCUCGUUUUGUAGAGAUGCCUGCCUGAAAUUCCACUUCUGGGUCCUUAUCCCUUUGCUACAAUGAUGCAGCUUCUUUCAAUUGCAGAGAAAGGACAGCCUGCAAAAACAUCAGGUCCACAAAUUAAAACGUUGCUGGCUAAUAACUUUAUGAAUCAAUCCACAAGAAGUGGGCUCCUAUAACUCCUCUAUUUAUUAUGCUUUUAAAGCACUUCUGAAUUUUUUAUUUUUCUUCAUUCCAGUUAGUACCUGGAAAAAAAAUGUAAGCUCUAAGGUGGUAAAUGAUUAGAGUUUUUUCACACUACUGGGUGAAAGGUGUCACAUUUAAUGCAGCUCUGCAUAAAACCAGGCUUCAAAAGUGGCUAAUCAUCUAGUUGUCAAUUCAUCAUUUAGGUAGCAGAGAAAAUAAGCUCAAUAUUAAUGUAUAUUUACCCUUUAUAAAUUAUAGCAAAAAUUAUCUCUUCUAAAAAUUCUUCUCUGAAUUCCCAGAUUGAAGAGUUUUUUUCUGUGUUCCCAGGGCAGCCUGAACUUUCCAUGGUCAUUUGCCAAUGUCUAUUAAAAUUGUGCCUCUGUCUCUCCAGUUGAGAAAGAACAUCCGUGUCUCCCUCAGGUUUGUACUUUUCAACUCCUUAGAGACUUUGCUC